GUGGGUACCGGUCGAGGGUCUAGGGUCGGGUGGAGUCGGAGAAGUGUAACGUAGUAGAAAGACGUUACGAAUUAAGGCGUAACAAAAUGUUAGAAGUUCUAUCCAUAGCCCUGGAGAAAUUCACUGCAGCUGUAAAUCGUUUCGCCGCCGAUCAUUCUUGAUUCAUGAUGAUGUGACAAAGGUACGCUCAUAAAACAACAAAAUACUAGCCACUGGCACACUGUUGCAGACAUUUUUACGAGAUCAUGCCCCUACGCUGAAAUGAAGGCAAGAAGACAUCAACUCGGCAUUGCAAAUAAUUCGCUUUGGAGAGCUAUCAAUCAGAAAUAGUGUGGGAUAAGUUCUCGAGAAAAGCACCAGUCAUGGCCAAAUUUAGUCUGUUACCUUACCUGAUGAAGAAGGAGGAAGAGGAGAUUGUGGUCUGGACUGUGGAAAACUGGGAAGAAUCAGUUUUGGUCAGACUAGAGGAGAUACCCAAUCCUUACAGAACCAGAGCUGCAAUAACUGAUGGACUUUUGAUACCAAAAGCAAGGACAAAUUCUGGCAAACAAGCUUUUUCCCAUGUUGGUGCAGUGGAGUGGAAUCGUUUACCGCAUGAUGUAAGGCAGGCACCUUCUAAACACACAUUUACUGCAAGAUUCUGGAAAGUGACCCAAAACUAGGUCAUGAAGAAAAUGUUUUACAUAGAUGGCAGGUCGAACCCCUUUUUGUGGAGUAGCAACUUGGGGAUGUAGGUGGAACCGUUUUCAUGCCGAGCAUCCUAAAUUAGUAUUCUGCAAGCCACAAUCAAUUGGAAAGGAGUGUACAGAAGUUACCAAGAAUCAAAUAAACAGAUGGGUUGCAAGAAUUGGAGGAAUUCUUAGAAGCACACAAUGCAAGAAGCAUUCCUGAGGAGCUGGAUCUGCUGUUCAAUGCUGACAAAUCAGGCUUCCUCCUUGGUGGUAGAGCAUCGGACUUGGUCUUGUCCCUUAAAGGAGAGUGGGUAGUUUAGCAGUUUAAGGAGGCUGACAAAGGGCAGGUAAAUGUGCUUGUAACAGCAUGCGCGGGUGGCAGUUUUUUUGCCACUAGUGAUUGGAUACCAGGGUGAUGGAACAGCAUACCAAUGAGUUCCAAGGGGCUCUUUCUUUGCUAGGACCAAAAGGCUGGAUGGAUAGUAAAGCCUUUAAUGGUUUCAUUGCUAAUCUUUUCCAGCCCUAUCUGGUCCAGAUGAGAGUGACCCUUUCAGUGCCCCUGCUCAUUGAUGGCCUUUUAGCACAUCAGACCCUGGCGGUAGCCAAGCGUUGUGAGGCCAAUUAGAUUCUUUUGGACUGAUUUCCUCCCAAUGCGACGCACAUCAUCCAGCAGUGUGAUGUGUCGGUGUUCCAAUCUCUGAAGGCAUCGUCGAACAGAGCAGAGGAGCUGUUCCAUUACUGUAAUCCCAGUGAAUACAUCACAAGAACAACAUUCUCUAACACGUUUGUGAGCGCUUGGCAGGAGCUCCUGUGAAAGCCAACAAUUGCUGCUUCUUUCAAGCUGCAGGAAUCUAUCAAUUUACAAAGCAUUCAGUUAAGAUCUACUUUGCCCAGCGGACCUGUAUUGCUUUGUCGAUCGUAUGGAUAGGAUACCCCAGGAAGAGAAAUUCCAUCAUCCUGGAAUGAUGCGUUCAUUCCCGAGGAUGAUGACAUGAGGUCAUCUCAACCCGAUGAACCUGACAAUGAUGCACCGUCUUCAUUGUCAGCCCCAUCGGGAAUAUGGAGUUGGUAGCACCAUGGAUCCCUCUUGUAUCCAUGGUGUAGCUCCAUGUCUAGAGAGACCUCUAAACAAGAUGUUCAUCUCGACGUUGGUAGAAGAAUACCUUGUUUAUAUGAUUUAAUUCGCGAAUCAAAGGAGAUGAAAAAGACAUCUGCCUGAGGCAAUUAGUGGAGAGGCGUUUAUCAGAUAUGCUGUGGAGCAGAGGAGAGGGAAAACAGUGAAAGGAGGAGCGUGACCACAAGAGAGUUGAAACGGAGAGAAGGAAGGAAUUUGAAAAGGAGCAAUAAAAAAGACAGCAAGAACUUGGAGAGAGGAUAUUUAAAACACUGGAGAUAAGAAUGAAAUAGAAGUUAGAGUGGAUUAGAGAAAUUUAUGAGUGG